rnacentral:RNase_P_RNA from 1 species
CCUGCUCUUUCGAUGAUCGCUCGUCCCGCUCGCGCGGGAUGAGAGGAACGUCCGGACAGCAAUGGAACGCUUAAUGGGUAACGCCCAUCCGUGCAUCACAUAUCAGGUAAAGGUGCAUGAGGACUAGUGCCACAGAGACGAGCCCGCAAGGGCAUGUGAAACGCCUCCGGCUUGAACGGAGGACCCCGUAAGGGACUUGGCAAACUCUAGGUGCUGCAAGGAGGAAUUGGGCGAUUGGAACCUCUCAUGGUUCCGUGAGACCGAUUGCCCCUCCGCUCGACCGUGCGGGCAACCGCUCGGCUAGAGAGAUGAUCAUCUAACUCAUCCCGCACACGCGGGACGGGGCCAGACAAAAUCCGGCGUAUAAAGAGCAGGACAA